UACGUAGGGUGCAAGCGUUAAUCGGAAUUACUGGGCGUAAAGCGUGCGCAGGCGGUUUGUAAGUCUGACGUGAAAUCCCCGGGCUCAACCUGGGAAUUGCGUUGGAGACUGCAAGGCUAGAAUCUGGCAGGAGGGGGUGAGAAUUCCACGUGUGAGCAGUGAAAUGCGUAGAUAUGUGGAGGAACGACCGAUGGCGCAAGGCAGC
rnacentral:rRNA from 1 species